GCUUGAGCUGAAAGUGUGUGAGUCAGAAUGAACCUUUCAGAGUUGCCUGGAGGUUGCUGCAGAUUAACUCUCACUCUCUCUGUCUAGGUUUCUCUUCAGGUUUUGUCCAGGGUUUUGUUUCAAGGAAACCUCAGAGUGUUUUGCUUCCCUUCCUUUUUCUGUCUGUUAUCCCUAUUUUAUAACCUGAUUUUCAUGGCUUUGUGGGCUCAAAUGAGAGAGGUCCAAGUCCAAGAUUUUUCUAUUAUAUUUUAUUUA
rnacentral:lncRNA from 1 species